CGGCACCACGAGGGCUAAACUGUCUCCCCCCUUUAAUUAGUGAAUCUGAUCUCUUCGUGAAAAAGCGAAGAUAAAAAUAUUAGACGAGAAGACCCCAUGGAGCUUAAAACCCCCAUAACACUUUCUUCAACAUAACCUUAAAAAAUAAGACCUUUGUUAACCGGUUUUCGGCUGGGGUGUCCAGGGAGUACAACUAAACCUCCAUGACGAACAUUUCCACUUACCCAAGAAUUACAAUUCUAAGAAUCAGCAAUCUGACGUAAUAUGACCCGAUACUCGAUCAACGAACCAAGUUACCCUGGGGAUAACAGCGCAAUCCAUUUCGAGAGCCCUUAUCGACAAAUGGGUUUACGACCUCGAUGUUGGAUCAGGGCACCCCUGUGGUGCAGCAGCUACUAAAGGUUCGUUUGUUCAACGAUUAAAGCCCU
rnacentral:rRNA from 1 species